rnacentral:rRNA from 1 species
UUGAUCCUGGCUCAGGACGAACGCUGGCGGCGCGCCUAACACAUGCAAGUCGAACGAGCGAGAGAGAGCUUGCUUUCACGAGCGAGUGGCGAACGGGUGAGUAACGCGUGAGGAACCUGCCUCAAAGAGGGGGACAACAGUUGGAAACGACUGCUAAUACCGCAUAAGCCCACAGCUCGGCAUCGAGCAGAGGGAAAAGGAGCAAUCCGCUUUGAGAUGGCCUCGCGUCCGAUUAGCUAGUUGGUGAGGUAACGGCCCACCAAGGCGACGAUCGGUAGCCGGACUGAGAGGUUGAACGGCCACAUUGGGACUGAGACACGGCCCAGACUCCUACGGGAGGCAGCAGUGGGGAAUAUUGCACAAUGGGGGAAACCCUGAUGCAGCGACGCCGCGUGGAGGAAGAAGGUCUUCGGAUUGUAAACUCCUGUUGUUGAGGAAGAUAAUGACGGUACUCAACAAGGAAGUGACGGCUAACUACGUGCCAGCAGCCGCGGUAAAACGUAGGUCACAAGCGUUGUCCGGAAUUACUGGGUGUAAAGGGAGCGCAGGCGGGAAGACAAGUUGGAAGUGAAAUCUAUGGGCUCAACCCAUAAACUGCUUUCAAAACUGUUUUUCUUGAGUAGUGCAGAGGUAGGCGGAAUUCCCGGUGUAGCGGUGGAAUGCGUACAUAUCGGGAGGAACACAGUGGCGAAGGCGGCCUACUGGGCACCAACUGACGCUGAGGCUCGAAAGUGUGGGUAGCAAACAGGAUUAGAUACCCUGGUAGUCCACACCGUAAACGAUGAUUACUAGGUGUUGGAGGAUUGACCCCUUCAGGGCCGCAGUUAACACAAUAAGUAAUCCACCUGGGGAGUACGACCGCAAGGUUGAAACUCAAAGGAAUUGACGGGGGCCCGCACAAGCAGUGGAGUAUGUGGUUUAAUUCGACGCAACGCGAAGAACCUUACCAAGUCUUGACAUCCUGCGACGGACAUAGAAAUAUGUCUUUCCUUCGGGACGCAGAGACAGGUGGUGCAUGGUUGUCGUCAGCUCGUGUCGUGAGAUGUUGGGUUAAGUCCCGCAACGAGCGCAACCCUUACUGUCAGUUACUACGCAAGAGGACUCUGGCAGGACUGCCGUUGACAAAACGGAGGAAGGUGGGGAUGACGUCAAAUCAUCAUGCCCUUUAUGACUUGGGCUACACACGUACUACAAUGGCGUUAAACAAAGAGAAGCAAGACCGCGAGGUGGAGCAAAACUCAGAAACAACGUCCCAGUUCGGACUGCAGGCUGCAACUCGCCUGCACGAAGUCGGAAUUGCUAGUAAUCGUGGAUCAGCAUGCCACGGUGAAUACGUUCGCCGGGCACUUGUACACACCGCCCGUC